ensembl:lncRNA novel transcript
UUACCAGUUUUGGGUGCACAUCUGGCUUUGACACUUUCUAGUUAUGUGACCUUUGAAUCUCAGCAUUCCACCAAGACAAUCUCCAAAAAAGGAAAAGCAAAUGAGCAGGGCUGUUUCUGAGGAUAUGAAAUACUUUACAAUUAAAUAAGGAAGAAGAGGAAACAUUCCAGACAGAAGCAAUCUCUUACUGCAAGAGAAUAAGAAGUAAUAAGAAUUUUCAUCAUUUGAAAUGCAGCCAUGUGGCAAUUUUAUCCAUCCAGAACAACUGACAUACAGUAAAUACUUAACAUGUAGCAGAUUCUGCUGUGUUUUUUGAUGUCUUGUUAUAUUAAAUCUCUUCAACCACACUAUGAGAUUCCAUUCCCUUACCUGUGAAGUGCGGAUGGUUGUGUGGUUGCUGAGGUGCUGUCCAGCUUGGACAUCGAGGAAUUGUAUGAGCACCUUUGAUUGCCUUGCAUGCAGAAACAACUCUGAACCCAGCAGUGUUACUUAGAUUUCACAGAAAAGGGAGGCAGAGAGGAAGAUGUUAGUCAGGACAAGACCAGAACAAAACAAGCGGCCCUAUGUCUAAGUGUUGCUGACCACACUCCAGAAGCCAGAAUUUCUGCAAACUGAUCUUCAGCCCCAGUUCCAUACCCACAGACAUGGACUCCAUAUCCUCAGCAAAGCACAAGAGGGGAAUAAUAAUAGCUCUGUCACAUUUAAUCUUCAAAGCAAAACUUUCUCCAUUUAGAAAAUGAGAAAAUUUCAACUCAGGGAGUUUCAGAAACUUUCCCAGGGUAUCGCAGCUGAAAAACAGUAGAGCCAGCAUUUGAACUCAGGCUGCCGGACUCCUUUACUGUGUGUUCGAAUCCACGCAGUGCUGCAAGACUUGACUAACUCACCCUGUACACCCAUAACUGUCAGACAUCAGAGUCCAUUAAGAAGCUGGGAAUCAAUUAAUUAACAAUUGAUUAGAACUGUUACAAUGUAUUUAGGAUGCAUUUCUGUAUAGGGCUGAGCAUACAGAAAUUAGCCAGAUGUGGUACUUGGUUUCCAGGAACUAUUUACAGUAAAAAAGCAAACACUUAUGAAAUGCU